rnacentral:lncRNA from 1 species
CCCUGAAUCAACAAUAUAUUAAUUAAUCCCCUGCCAAGAACUGAGGAUGGAAAGACGACAAAAAGGGAAAAAAAAUACUUUCCUUGUCUUCAGAGAACUUUGCAAUCAAACAGGCAUGAUAACCGGUACACGUGUACAUCUACACCAAUGAAAGAUGAAGUAAUUUGUGGUAAAGGAGCACUAGCUGGAAGUGGUGGUGGAGCAGAUGAAGUUUAUUAUCUGGGAAAGAGGGAGACGAGAGAGAAUUUGAAUUGCAAAAGAUCAGAAAAAGACAUCCAAAUGCCUUUCCUUGAGACAGCCAUAAUAUCUCAGUAUGCAGAAGAAGGAUUUUUUGAGUACUUAUCCUUUCAUCACACAGAAUAUUAAGAAGACAUGUCCUGAAGGGUAAAGAUUUAAUAAUUAUUUUUUUCUUGUUUCAUCAAGGACAUUUUUACAUGAAACUGGCAUAUUUCUUACUGUGUCUAUGACAAUGUGUGUGUGGCAGUAAAGAAUCCACAAACUACUAAUAUAGCUUGAUGCCACUCUCUCUAUUCAGCUUAGGUACCAACAGUCUUCCCACAAUUGUUUUUCUAUAUCAGUGCAAUGUCAACAUAAUUGUUUCAGAAUAAAC